GUUCAACGGCCGCGGUAUCCUAACCGUGCGAAGGUAGCGUAAUCACUUGUUCUUUAAAUGUGGACUAGUAUGAAUGGCACUACGAGGGUUAUACUGUCUCCUUUUUCUAAUCAGUGAAACUAAUUUUCCCGUGAAGAAGCGGGAAUAUAACUAUAAGACGAGAAGACCCUAUGGAGCUUUAAACAACCCAGCAAUUACUUCUAAAAUUUUAAAUUUCAGAAUAUUCAUUCUUUAAGUAGUAUGUUUGCAAGUUUUUGGUUGGGGUGACCAUGGAGAAUAACAUAACCUCCACAUUGAAUGAAUUCCCUUCUAAGCUGAAAAUCACCAAUUGAAGCAUCAACACACUGACAUCUAUUGACCCAAUAUAUUUGAUCAACGAACCAAGUUACCCUAGGGAUAACAGCGCAAUCCACUUCAAGAGCCCCUAUCGACAAGUGGGUUUACGACCUCGAUGUUGGAUCAGGAUAUCCCAGUGGCGCAGCUGCUACUAAAGGUUCGUUUGUUCAACGAUUAAAACCC
rnacentral:rRNA from 1 species